GCCUAGCCGUAAAACAUUUAAUCACAUCAUUAACCGCCAGGGAAUUACGAGCCAAGCUUAAAACCCAAAGGACUUGACGGUUCCCCACCCACCUAGAGGAGCCUGUUCUAUAAUCGAUUCUCCCCGAUACACCUCACCACUUCUAGCCUACUCAGCCUGUAUACCUCCGUCGUAAGCUUACCAUAUGAACGUUGAAUUAGUGAGCAAAAAGAUCAAUCAUCAAUACGUCAGGUCAAGGUGCAGCUCACGAAGCGGGAAGCAAUGGGCUACAGUUUCUAACUUAGAACAAACGAAAGACUACAUGAAACAUAGUCACGAAGGCGGAUUUAGUAGUAAAAAGAAAAUAGAGAGUUCUUUUUAAUUAGGCCCUGGGACGCGUACACACCGCC
rnacentral:rRNA from 1 species